rnacentral:lncRNA from 1 species
UCGUUUGGUAAGUAUGAUUUAGACGUAUAUUGUUUGGUAUGGCGGGACUCUGUCCCGAUCUUUAUGAUAUUUAUGUACUCUUAGAGGCAUGUAGACAUAUGUCGUGUACAUAAAAGAUUGUAUGGCCUUAUCAACCUAUGUUUUGAGUUUAUAAAGGAUUAUGUUGGCCUAUUAGGCCCGUAUGUCAUAUGUAUAUGAUGAUGUAAUGAGAAAGAUACGUUACGUUGGUACUCGGUUGAGUAAGGUACUGGUGCCCGUCGCGGCCCAUCGGUUUGAGUCGUGACAUUAUCUAUACCUGCAGGCAUGAAUGUAGCGUCCCCAACAAAAAGACGUCAGUACGAAUAAUGUACUGAGUAUGUAAGGCUUGUAACUUAGUAUAUAAAGAACAUGGAAGAAACAUGUAGUAAAGGGCUCAACCUGUAAGUCUGGCUAGCUCUGUAAAUCAUGAAAUAUUUGUAGUGUCAUGCAUAUGCGUAUGAAUGUCAUGUCGUGCAUAGGUACAUGUGUUCAUCCCAUCAUCAAGCCUCUAAGGGCAUCCCGUCAUAUCAUCUUGGCCAUUGUGGGCAAAAUUAUCAACGUAUACCAGUUGAUCAGGUGGUGAUGCGUAUAUAACGUCGUAACCUUUUUCCAUAUCCCACACAUAUAUAUAUAUAUAUAUACACACACACACACAUACGCGUAUAUAACGCCAUCUGAGUCAUAUUUCAGCCACUGUGGGCAACAUCAUUAUCGUAUACCAGCUGAUCAGGUGGUGGUGCGUAUAUAACGUUGUAACCUUUUCCCAUAUUCCAUAUACAUAUAUAUGCAAAUAUACGUGUAUAUAACGCUGUCUGAGUCAUGGGUAAAUGCACAUGUAAAUGAGCGCAAUGCAUGAGAAGUACGUUAAUAAAACUUCUUGAAACAUCAAAAUACCAUUAUACCUCUAAUUAAUAUCAUUUUACAAUAAAUAAAUAAUAUAAACAUCCUUAACCACUACGAGUAGAAAUACUUAUGAAAUAACAUUACGUUUACGUAUCGUUGCUGGAUCAUGCCAAAAGAAGGAAGAAUUAACCUUGACAUAUCUGAACCUGUUCUCUUGUAAGAAGAUCAAGAGUUGUAAUUUGCGUUCCUCUCAUCUGAUAUGGUUUUGGCAUUGUAAUUUAGUUACCUUUAUGCUUUCGUUAAAUCUAAUAUCUGGUACUUAUUUCUUUACUUACUGCAUCUCCUCCUUAUCCUUCUUAAUUUCUGUCCAAUGACCUUUCAUCUUUUGUCAAGAAAAAAUCGCCGUCUUCAGGCGCAUGACAAAUCAAGGAUGUGAAUUUCAGUUUUCUUAUUUUGUUAAAGAGAUCCAGUCAACAAAUAAUUGGAGUUCACGUAUCCGAGAUGAAACUUCAAGAGAAGGGGUUAUGGGCUGUUCCUCAUCCAUGGCUAAACCUUCUAAUUCAAAAGAGCAAGAUUCAUGACUUUGCACAAGAAGUUUUUGGGAAGAUUCUUACCGACACUAGCCACGGUCCUAUACUCAUCUACCCAGUCAACAAAUCAAAGUAUUGAAAUCAUCAUCACUAAAACCAAUCUUCUUAUUAAGGAUAUAUGCAUUUUCCUAACAUGAUCUACGACCAUUUAUCAUUUUCUCAGACAUAUUAAUAGCUUCCUUUGCUUCUCCAUGCUGUGCAUAAGUGGAUAUCAUAGAAUUCCAACAUGCGAUAUCUCUCUGGAGAGCGGAAUCAAACAUCCUCUGUGCUUCUUCCAAGCUUCCACACUAGGAGUACACAUCAACCAGUGCAUUUGUAACAUGCGGAUCAAAAUCUACGCCGACUUUUACAAUCUGGUUAUGAAACCAGAGACCGUGGAGGAGACUUACUAGGUUACUAGAAGAAACAAUGAGGGCAACAAAAGUCAACGUAUUUGGCUUUUGCAAACAAUGCUGCAAUUUUAGGAAGAGCUUUAGAGCCUUUUCAUUUUCACACUGUUGUAUAUACCCAAACAACAUAGAACUCCAUACAGCAAUAUCCUUCUCAUUCAUCUCAUUAAAUACUUGCCUUGCAUCUUUAACAGAUGAACAUUUUGAGUAAACAUCUAUUAGGAUGCUACAAACAAACAUGCCAGCCGAAAAACCAAAUUUUAUGGUGAGAGCAUGAAGUUGCAUACUCAAUUCCAAGGAAAAGAGUGAAGCUGAAGCACCAAGCAGGCUAACAAAAGUCAAAAGGCUUGGAAGAAUCAGAUUAUCUCUCAUUUCAGCAAAUAGUUGAGAAACUUACACAUUACUAUUAGAGGAUACUUUAGAUAGAGCCACAUAAGCUCAUAUGACUACUUAGUCCAAUAGUGGCUUACUGUCACGUUUUGCCUUUAUCCAAAAUAUUUUGGGUAAUUGCCAAUUACCCGCGUGAUUAAGAAUUGUCUCAAUUUACUUAAAAUUCUACUUAUAUUUAAUAUACUUUAUACACUUUACUAUAAUAUACUUUACUAUUAUGAUCAUGUGGUACCAUAUAAAAUAAAUACAUACACGAUUAUUUUAUUAAAACAUUCAUGUAAAAAUACAUAUAUUUUCUCCACUUCUAAUUUUCCUAAUCUCAUAUAAAGAGUAAAAAAAUUUGUACACUUAAUUCUUAAAAAUGGUAAAAAGAUAGCCUUCUUUCCUUGAAAAUAAUUUCUAUCUUUACAAUAAAGAAAAUCUCAUAAAUUUCUCAUUUUACGUGCGUAAUUUAAAACAUAUUCGAAAAUAGUAAUAUUAAUAAUUAUAUAAAAAACAUUUUUUUCAAAUUAUUUUACAAAAAUAUUUCACUCAAAAUACCAUAUCAAAUGUAAGCUAGAGCGAGUGAUAAAAGGCCUGAUCGUCUAUAGUCUUGAUUAUUAUUCUUAUUAUUACUAAUAUCAUUAUUGUUAUUUGGCUCUAAUUAACUAAAAUUUACAUUUGAAGAACAUUCCAUAGCCAUUAGUUUAAUUCUAAAAAAUUUCCUAACAAAGAAAUAUUAGAAACCAAAUGUACCAUUCUUUGUUCCAUAAAAAGUGCUAUUAUUAUCUAUUCUUAAUUUAAAUCUCGGUUUUCUUCAUUUACUAAUAUUAAAGUAUGGGAUGUAACACACAACAUGGGUCCCGACCAAACUCAAUUUAAGAGAAUUAGUCUUUAAGGAAAUAAAGCAGUUUAAACAAAUGGAAAUUAUUUUAAAACGGGAAUUAAAGGGGUCCUAAGCUUAUUAGCCUAUAGGAUGACUUCCAUACAAUACUCGGUAAUCUUCCCCAAAUUGAGGUGUUAAGCGUAGCAUUAGUGCACAGGUCAUCAUCUCCUUUACUACCUAAUUACCCUCCCUUUUCAAUUAUUACCUAAGCGUUCUAAUAAUAUCCAGUACGUACCUUAUGCGUGCACUACCCGUCCCUUACCUCUGGCCUUGGAGGUGUUUAGGACCUCUAUUUAAGGUGGUUCUAGACUUACCUAUGUUGUUUAAAAGGAGAAAACUAAGCAACAAACAAAAGUCAAGUAGGAAUGUCACAUAAGGAGCAAUUAAGUGGGCUCAUGUUAACCUCCACAAAUAGACAAACAAAUGCACGCUAUUCAAACAAGCAAUUUUAAAUGAUUUUAGGAUCCUAUAGGCAGGAUAUCUAAAUGAGCACAAAAUAGAAUAUACAACAAUGUUAAAGCGAGCAGACGAGUGCCUAUCAGUUUUCCUACUGAUUUGGUUAAUACUCUAAAUCCGAGCAUAUGUCAAACAAGCAAUCAUAGUUUUUUAGUCACACAAUUUUAAUUAUCCUACAAGCUUGCAUAAGUGAUAGUCGAGUAGAACCCUAUAGACAUGGUAUCUAAAUUGUAAACUAGUUAUUGAUUUUAACAAGCAGAUUUCAUCUUUUAGAUCCUAUAGGCAUACUUUCUAAGUGCUGAAACAGAUUAUAAUUCUUAUAGACAUGAUAUCUAAACACAAAAACUGAGUUUUUACACUUACUUCCUAUAGGAAUGAUGUCUAAGUGUCAAGACUGAUUUUAUACUUAUUUCCUAUAGGCAUGAUAUCUAAGCGCAAAACUGAUAUUUCCUAUAGGCAUGAUAACUAUAUGCAGAAUUGAUUAUUUUAUUUCUUAUAGGUAUGGUAUCUAGGUGAUUUUUAAUUCCUAUAGGCAAAAUCUCUAUUAAUCAUAUGUAGGCAUAAUUCUUUAAGAACAUUAUCAGGAAAAUUGUUAUUCAAACAGACAAGAUCCUAUAGACAUGGUUACUAAUGCAUAAAAUGAGCAUAGAUCUUGUGGACAUGAUUUCUAAUGCAAAGAAUCUAUGAACAUAAUUUCUAGCAUAUGAGUGAAGUAAGAAAAAUAAUUAGAAAGCCCUAUAAACAUGAUCUCUAAAUAGGUAUAAUGCUCACUUAAUCAUCAAUAAUCCUAUAGGCAGGAUUUCUACCCGAGUUUCAAGUAAAGAUAAAGGAUAACCCCCUACCCCCCAGCUUUUACUAAUAACCCCAUAUCUAUUUUUUACAAGGAUUAUUACAUUAUUACAGACUAAUACGAAUAGAUUACACAAUGAAAAAAAUUAUUAUACUAUAGGGAGCCUUAGCAGGACCAAUGUCAACCUGGAAGUUAGGCCUUCAAGCAAGUCUGACGUCCACAUGUAUUCCACAAUACACAAAAUGGGCUUCUGGUGUGUCAAAGAUCCCAAAGGCCUCAGGGACCCCGGACAAUGCUCACACCAAAACCUUUUCAAAUAAACAGUUUUGUAAAAAGUUUGGAAGAUCAUCCCCAAUGUGUCAUAGUUCAGAGGAAUCUCAUGGAACCUAGGUAGUGCUUAUACUGGGGGUGGUAGGACCCUAGAUAACUAAGAGUAGAAGUUUGAAAAUAGUGUAUAAGGGUAGGGGAAAGUUUCAGAAAGAAAGCAUCAGAACAGAACCAUAUUUCAGCAGAUUGACUCGGAUAUAGUUACCAGUAGUUAAACAAUCACAACAACACAGGGACACUAGAAUCAUAGACAUAAUAGAGUCACAUUUGAGUCAAACAAGGUUUCACAUUGCUGGAGUUGACAUAGUCUAUUAACUAUUACUAGUUGGAAUCAUAUAGACAUGUAUUUAGCAGAGAGAAACAUGAUAAAGUCAAAUGACUAAUCAGAUAGCCAUACAAAAAGGUAGCAGGAAUUUAAAGCACAUUAUUCUUGAUAGAAGUACAUAGAAAUCGUGAAUUGAUCAGGAACAUGAUAAGGUAAAUUAUCAGCACAUAAAAACAGGACAAGAAUAGGGGCAUGCUAGUUGAGAAACAGGUAAACAAGUGCCAUGGAUCAAACAGGAAUAUGCUCAAGUAUACUAACCAUACUAACAUAGAAGACAAGGCAAGUUAACAGGAACUAAGGCAUGCUAGUUAAGAGAGCAAUAAACAGGAACACAGAGCAUAAGCAUGUUGAAAUUCAUAAUGAACUAACUACAUUGCAUAUAGAGGAGAGCAUGAUAACAAAAAUUGAGGCAUACAAUUUAAGAGGUAGCAAACAGGAAGGUGAAGGCAAGUGAAAUCCAAGAGUUUAGCCUUGGCUUUCAGUCGACUAGACAGAAUAGCAAAUAGAAGUAACAUAAUGAACUAUAGUUGUGAGUGUGUGGGUAAGAGUAAGAGUUUAUGUGUGUAGGUGUUUUUGUAUCUUCCCGUGUGUGUUCAUGUGUUCUAAAAAAGUAUAAUGGUGAGGUUAUAUAGCAUUCAACGGAGUAAAACAAAUAAGGUAAAGAAAAUUAAGAGUUCACAAAUAACGUAUGCAAAUCAUUCAACCAGUUAAUUAAGGCUAAACCCAAUCAGUUAACACGGUAGAAUCCGGGAAAUAUCACUUAGAUUAGGGAGAAUCAAUUAACAGGCAAGAUUGAAGUUUAAUAAGGUAAACAAAUAAAUCAGAGACCAUCUAGGGGUCGGUUAAAACAGUUAAAUCUCAAAAAUUAGGCUAGUAACCUAAUUAAGGCAAGUAGUACCAAUUAGGAGUCACAAAUAAGGAAAAAUAAGAAAAAUCACAGAGAAAUAACAAUUUCAACAGAAAAUAUAAUUUUAACCCUAAUUAGGCAAAUAAAAUCAGUUAAUCUCUGUUGAUUGACAGGGCUAAAGAAUAACAUGAAAAUAUCAGAACAAAUAGUAAAAUGAUUAGAAACUCUAGGGAUUAGAACAUAGAUAUGAAAAUCAGUCGGACAAGUUGUAUGCGGCAAAAUUAGAGGGCCCAAUUUCUUGCUAUUAAUUUGUUUAAGAAGAAUACCUCGAGGCCUCGAGGACGCGAAGCUGUGACCGAGUUCCCUCCUUCGAAGCUCGUCGGGGACCGACCUGAAGGGAAUAUCGCUCGAGGCCAGAGUAAAAAUGGGGAGUUCCUAGGGCACGCGGCUAAGUCUGACAACACCGGCCUGCCCAGAACCUGUAUCAGGGUGUCGCGUCUAGCCGUCCCAUCUCCAUAUCUUUUGUAAUUAAUGCUUUUCUUACUAUGUUGGGACUUUCCUCCUAUAUAAAGGGGAUCCCUACCAUUUUGUAAGGGGCUGUUAUAACUCCAACUAUUCUACAUAAGAUAAAUAACAACUCUCUCUCCCUUCUCUCUCUAACAUAUUCCUUCGAUAUUAUUGCUCUUAUUUGUUGGCUUCAUACCUGUUCUUCAUUUAUUGCCUGUCAUUGGCCAUAAAGAGCCUCCUUUAAUUAUAUCCUAACUAUUAGCCCUUUCCCAAUUAUCCCCGAUAGCUCGAGCCCGAGCCCGAGCAUCAACCUCGAGGUCCCUCAUCGGUCAGUCUGAGGCCAGAAUAGCUAACCCCUUAGUUCGAUUAUAAUUCCAUAUUAGCCCAUAUUUCAUCUUUUAUCUCCACGUAUCUAGCAUCAACUGCUUGACAACUAGCAUAAAAAUAGAUCAUGUAUUUUUAGAGUCCCAUCAACAAACUUAAUUGUUAUUACCUUGUUCACGGGAAACAUUUUGGCGCCCACCCUGGGGCUAAAAAUAAUAGUGCUUAUUUUCUUGUUGGUUUCAUUGCACAAAGCAAGUUAUCUUUCACAGUUUUUCUUGUCCAAGAUCUUCAAUUUCAGGUCAAAAUGUCUAGCUCAGUGAACAGAGUUGAGAAAGACAACCUCGAAAACCACGGAGAAAAUGGUGUGGCCGUUCUAAUUAUUGGCGCACUACCAUAGAACCUCGACAACGCACCUAGACCGAUUCCAGCAGAUGCGGGUUCGCAAGAUGCACAGUAGGUUGAUGAAACCUCACACACAGACAGGAGCAUAUAAUAUGGCGACAAACAAGAAGCCCAAAAACCCCAGCUCGGGAAAAACGGGAAGUUAGCCUUCAUAUUAUUUUGGAAAUGUUGCAGGCACAACAAUUGGCUAUCACUCAGCUGCAAAGCCACCCAAAGACUCCCAACAUGGUAGCACCGGGGACAGCUCCCUCAGCCGAACAGGUACCUGAGAGAUCGAGCAAUAACGGAUUGAUAGCCGACCCUGCCAUCGUAAAAAUGCUCAAAGACCUCACAAAAAGGAUUGAAAUGGGUGAGAAAAUGAUAGUAGCCAGCGAUAAGAUUGUCGAGACCUACAACUCCAGGGUCGACCAGUCUUCGGGCACACCCCCGGUCCUGAAAGGUGUAGAUUCGAAGAAGUUCAUACAAAGGUCGUUCUCCGAAGAAGCGGCCCCGAAACCCAUUCAAAAGAAGUUCAGAAUGUCGGAACUCCCAAAGACAACAGGACCUCAGACUCCAAUGAACACGUUACUGCCUACACUUGCGUGGUAAAGGGCAACGAUAUAAAGAACGAUAAGAUCGAGUCCCAUUUACCGUCAAAAUGGUAACAAUAACUAAAUUUGUAAAUGGAAUUCUAAAAAUACGUGAUCUACUCUCGAGCUAGUUGUUUAGAGUAGUUGAUGCUAAGAAUACGAAGUUUAGCGAUGAAAUGCAAGCUAAAAACGGGGCGAUAACCUAACCUAAAGGCUUACUGCCCGGGUUGUUUUACCAAGGGGAUACAAGCUAAAACAAGGGGUUGAAUGAGCCGAGGAACCUGCUGUCGGAGUGUAGGAUCGGUCGAUGAGGGGCCUCGGGAUCGACGCCUAGGUCGAGCUAGGGCUAUCGGGGGCAGUCGGAAAUGGGACAACAAUUAAGGAUAUGAUUAAACAAGGCUCUUUAUGGCCAAUACCAAGCAAUAUAAUGAAGAAAAAGUAAGAAAGAGAUAAAUGCUAAAGUGACCUCGGGCUAGUGAGGACGAGUAGAUUAGAAAGAAGAGAGAGAGAGAGAGAGAGAGAGAGAGAGAGAUUAUGCANNNNNNNNNNNNNNNNNNNNNNNNNNNNNNNNNNNNNNNNNNNNNNNNNNNNNNNNNNNNNNNNNNNNNNNNNNNNNNNNNNNNNNNNNNNNNNNNNNNNNNNNNNNNNNNNNNNNNNNNNNNNNNNNNNNNNNNNNNNNNNNNNNNNNNNNNNNNNNNNNNNNNNNNNNNNNNNNNNNNNNNNNNNNNNNNNNNNNNNNNNNNNNNNNNNNNNNNNNNNNNNNNNNNNNNNNNNNNNNNNNNNNNNNNNNNNNNNNNNNNNNNNNNNNNNNNNNNNNNNNNNNNNNNNNNNNNNNNNNNNNNNNNNNNNNNNNNNNNNNNNNNNNNNNNNNNNNNNNNNNNNNNNNNNNNNNNNNNCAGCCCUUUACAAGGUAGCGCGAGUUCCUUUUAUAUAGGAGGGGAACUCGACUAUAGUAUAACAUGCAUUAAUUAUUUAAGUAUGGAAAUGGGACAAGUAGACGCGACGCCUCAGCGUAGGCCCUGGAUAGGCCGGCUUUGUCGGACUUAGCCACGUGCCUUGGGAUCUUCCCCCUCUGUUUUGGCUUCGAUUUUCGUCUUCUCUGAGUUGAGCCUUGACGAGGCCCGAGGGAGGGGACUCAGCCUUGGAUCCCCGUCUCAGGGUCUCGAGGCAUUCUUCUGAAAUGACUUAAUAGCGAGAAUUUAAGUCCUCUGAUUUCGAUGCAUAUAGGUUGUCUCCGUGUUUCCCAGAACGAAGCGAUGGGAAAUUAUUCUAACACUUGACUCAUCGAGCUUCUUACAGAGACGUCACAGCAGCGAUGUAACCUGUGGCGCAAGCUUUUGAGGCAACCGGGGCGUCCCACGGACGUGUGUAUUUCGACCUCAUUCAAUGCACUGCCGAUUCCCGUUCUCCAAGGUGAAUAUACCGUCAUCGAUUCAGUUUUUUAAGAAUAAAAUAAUUGCGUCUGCCGGUCACUCUUCCAAAGCCUCGAUGACCAUGCCAUUAUCCCCUAUAAAUGGGGGUGCCUUGGCGUUGUUUUUCCUAUCCCAGUACCCUCAUUGGCUCAUUUGCCCAUUCUUUCUUAUCAUCUUCUUCUAUCCUUGAAUAUCAUGCUUGGGGCUCAUGGACUCAAAGCCGUUUGGUGGAGCUCCCAUAGAUUGUGUUACAGACUCUUGUCGGGGCUACCCUUUGUCGAGCAUGGUCAUGCUGCCCUAUCACUGCGGUGGUUGCUGAUAUGUUUGUCGUUGCUGUUGUUGUUGGCCCGCGUUGGUGAUGGACGGGGAGUCGGCUUUCCCCUUAUGUAGACAGCCAUUCAAACUAUGCACCACUGCUCACUCUCCUACCCAGGCCUAGUGUGGCACUUCAUCCCUUGGGUUUUUUCUUUCACAAGAUAAAAUGGUACUAUCAACCGUUGAGGCUGGGGCCUGCCGAAUCUUCAACAUUUGGCUUUGGCGGGCCAUGUCUCUUUUCUCUGCCUCCUCUGCAUCCCCUCAUUUUCCUCUUCUUCAUCUAUUCCGACGGUAAUCCCUCGGGGGAUUGAGCUGGGAACCUAGAGGAGGUGGCAGUCGAAGGAAUCGCCUUCGAGGAUGCGUGCUCGAGGGGGCGGUGCUUGAGGAUGCUGAUACUAGAGAUGGACCCUCGAGGAUGGAUCGGGCUCUCGGGUUUCAUCACAUGUACAUCAUGUCGUUCCUCCAUUUUUGGUGUGGAGAACCUCUAUAGGCUUCUGUAGUUGUAUGUAAGGACCCCUCGAGGGCUGUUGUACAUGGAUUUUUACGAAUAUGAAUAUAUUUCAUUGACUUCUGCAUUUGAUUUUUGCCUUAUUCUUGUAUGCUCUCGUCCUUUUCGAGGCUUUUGAAUGUUUUCCUUUGUUGAUGACCGCUGAUACCUAACUUGAAUGCGAGCGUUCUUCCCGAUCCUCUGUUGAUCAUCAUGGCCCCUUUCCGAGCUCAUUGUCGUACCUCAGAUCAAACCUGGAUUGAUCUGAUAGGCUCAGGCUGUCGAGCCCUCCGUGUUGCAUGAAGAUAGUACACAAAGCUUUCGAUAAUGAUAUCCUAAAUAAAGGUCAACUUCGGGUACCUGGAGGUCCCUUUUGAACUUGAUGUAGAGAGCUUUUUAAGGCGUAUGGGAUAAACUUAUAUUGAGGAGUUACCUGUACUCAGGCGCUGCCUCGAGCCUUCGUGGAGCCUUCGUGAUUGGAGCUUUGCGUGCUUAUUUUAAGAAAAGGAAACCAUGAGACCGGGUACAGCCUUGAGUCGAGUGAUGGUGUUGAAAGCUUCCCGAAGCUUGACCUCUUUUUUGGCGGAGGUCCUCGAGGUCGGGCAUUGUCUCGAGACUGGGGACAAUAUAGUUGACUCCUCGAGGCCUGGCCUCUUGUCGAUGGAUGCCUCGGGGGUCGGGUACCACCGCUUCGAUCUGUAUCGAGGUUGUUGGCUUCUUCGAAAGACCUUACUAUUUAAGAUAGCUAUCGUUUCGUGGCAUAGGGCUCUUCAUUUAUUCAGGCGCAAAAAGUGUUGGCGUAUAUUCUUGCUCUAGUUUGUCAAUUUUACCAUAGUCAUGGCAACUACUUCGGGGCCAGCACGACAGGGAGUGGGGAAUGUUGCUCCCGAUGCUUAGGAUCCGCAGGAUUUCGCUCUGAAGAGCGUGUCUUUGAUAAAAGAGGAACAUCUGGAGAUAGUGAGGAGAUACUGCGGAUGGAGUGAAGGGAUAACGCUGCAGGUGCUUUCCCCAGAUGAGAGCAUUACGGACUCCGUUGAUAGAUUCUUGAGCGUAUACUUAUAUCCUUUCGCAUUUGGCCCCCUUGAUAGGGUCGUGCUUGAUUUUUGAUUGAACUAUCGGGUUACUUUGGCGCAGAUAUAUCCGUCGUUUUGGCGAGUGGUGUUGAUGAUGAGGUCCUUUGCAGGGAGGGCUGGGCUUGAAUUCAUGCUUAGUUACCUCUUCAGGCUAUACCGCCCCUUUCAUCACCAAGGUCUGCUAACCCUGAGGUGCCAUUCGUCCACACCCUUUGUCGUUGAUGACUAAGAAGAUGGGGAUCGGGAAUGGGCUAGUUGGUUCAUCCGGUUCCGGAUGGCCGACACUAUUCCUAUGGAGCUUUUGCCAUUUCCCAAGGGAUGGAAUUAUGCACGUGAGCGGAGCGUUUGGUGCUUUUUCAGAUUUUGCUUAUAGCAAAAACCAGUUGAGUAAUUGCGUUUUCCCCUUUUGCAGCAACUUCAUGGACGCCGGGAGAAGUUCUUGACCUGCCCGGCUGGGUCCAGAGGUUGGUGACCCAUCCGAACUACGAUGAGCAUAGGUGGCGAGUUGUAUUUCGCAUCAGAUGGGGAGCAAAAUACCAAGGUAUUCGCGCACGCUGCCUUUGCCUUGGCCUUCAUGUAUUCGAGGUAACAUUUUCCCCUUUCUUUUGUACUGGCCUUGUUGUUUGUAGGUAUAGGACGGUUCAUUGGGAUGAGGCAAUGCUUUUUCGAAUAGGGGAAGGAGUCGUCGGCCCCCGAGCUGAGGGAUGACGGUGACGAACGGGAUCCGUGCCUACAGUGUGAUGGAGUUUUUAGUGGCGCUGAACGGGAUCUGUGCCCAUAGUGUGAUGGAGCUUUUAGUGGAGCUGAACGGGCCCGUGUCACUGAGGAGAGGGCAUCGUCUGAGCCUGCGGUUCCUGGGGUGUUUGAUUCCCAGACGGCGGUUCAUCCAAGUGAAUAUGCUUUACCUAAGAUCGGUUCUUAUGUGGCCUAAGAGGCAGGAUUAACUGGAGUGUGUUCUGACUUCGAGGAAGAUCAUCGUCUUCACUUCAUGGUUAGUUUAGGCACAGUUCUUCUAUAUUUAGCGCCCUCCUUUCUUCAUCGAGUUUUCCUUUUGCAGGCUUGUGAUAGGCUCAGGUGUGAGCUGCUCCAUCAAGGAGCCAAGCUACAGAAAGUUCUGGACGAGGCUGAAUUCCUUAGGCUCCUUAGCGAGGAGAAGAAGGUUGAGUUUCUACAUUGGCGACAUGAGGCAUACCAGAGCUUGAAUUAUGAGAGCCAUUUGAUGGAGCAGGUAACCUUAUGUAGCACGCGCUUCGCUCUUUUUGGCCUUGGAGUACCUCAAGGGAGAUAUCGACCGCGUCAGGAAUGCUUGUGGCGAGCUAAGGGCUCAGGUGAAAGCUCAAGCUUUAGAGGAGAGGGGCCCUUUAGCCAAGGUUCCUACCUUCAAGGCUCAACUCUGCUUGGCUCGUGACAAUGCUAGAGUUCAAGCGGAUAUGAUCGGGAAACUCGAGUCUGAUCUCUCGAAGAUCAGGGCUGAGAUUAUUCAUGCCCGGGCUGAAGCGACAUUAAGCCGAACCAAGGCUGAUCGAGGAAUAUGUUCGUUGUAGACCCCGAAGAGAAGUACUCGAGGAGAUCAGCGCAAGGGGUUUUGUUCUCUCAGAGGAAUUGGCUCGAGCAAGGGCGGACGAGCGUGACGCUCGGUUACAUCUUGCUGACAUCGCGGAGAGCGAAUCUAAUAGGUUGUAGCCUUUUGGAGAGGAGUGUAGAUUUCACUGUUUUCCGCUUUGUAUUUGAUAUUUGUAAAGCAUGUUUGUAGAUAGAGAGUGUGCCUUUUUUUGCGUAUGUAAGAUAAGAGGGAACUCGAAGCGUUAUUUCUUCUGAAACUCUUUCUGUAUUCAUUUUGGCUAGGUGGGCUGGUUUCGGUGUUUGGCGGGAUCCUCGUAGGUCCGGAACUGAUCAGGCAUGCCCGAAGACUUUUAAGUGCAACUUUUGUCAUAAGUAGGCACCGACGCCUCUGUGUUUUGCCCAGCUGUUUAGGCUCUGUCUCCGAGUUAGGCCUUGACUCGAGCUUGCCUGACCUUCAAUAUUCUAUGCCCGCGCGGGCAGAUAGUGAUUGUUCUUAUUUCUUGCCCUUGGGCAUUCGCUGUUUUAGCUAUUUUGGGUCCAGUCUCCGAGUCGCAUUGCGAUUCGAGCUUUAGUUGACCCUUAAGUUCUUUCCUGCCUGCAUGGGUGGACGGCGAUGACCUUUUGUGCUUCGAGUUGAAGUGACCUUACAAUUGUGUGGCCCGAAGGCUCAUUUCGCUAGCGACAGUGGCAUUUAUGUUGUGCCCUUAGGCAUAUCACAUUUUAACUAUUUUGGAUCCGGUCUCCGAAUCGGGUUACGACUCGAGCUCAUUUUAAUCCUCAAGUUUUCAAUUUUUCAAGCUGGCGACAGUGGUUCUUACAUUGUUUGGUCGUUGAGACCUUUUUAGUGUGCGGCCCGGAGGCUUGUUUGGCUGGCCACAAUGGCUCUUAUGCUUUUUUGCCCAUGGGCUUUUUGUAGGCUUUAUUCUCCGCUUAUUAAGGUCUUCUUGAAAUGAUUUUGCCUGACCCGUUGUCGGUUCUGGAAGAACCUCGAUUUCAAGUUGUUAGCGGCGAUGUUCGAGCACCUCGGAAGGUUCCUAGCUCGUAGACUAAGUAGGUCGAAGCCUUGUGAUUUUGGAUCUGACAUGGUUGAAGCUCGUUUUUGCCUGUUGAGGGAAGCCUAUUUUAACCGGUUCUUUCCGAAGUAUAUUCGAAGUAAUGGCCUGCAAUUUUGUUUAGCAACGAUCGGGCAUCCCCGAGUCGCAUUUCAUUUGGUUGUGUUAGCCAUUUUACAGUAGUCAUAUGUGUUUGACCGGAGCCAUUUUUGAUCCCGAGUGAUAGUUUAGGCGUCUACACCGAGGGUAUGCCCUUUCGGGAUUCUUACAAAUGCGAUGUAUAGCCUAAACUUCAGAAUUUUGAAUUUCAUGCCUGUUGAGGUCUUACAGUUUGUCAUGCCUGUUGAGGUCUUACAGUUUGGCAUGCCUGUUGAGGUCUUACAGUUUUUGUUGUAAUGUAGAAUAGAUCUAGUUACGCUGAGUCUGCCCUCUCGAGGUCUUACAGUUUCGGGUUUUCCAAUGCAUGUCGAUUAAUGAUACUAUCCGAGUCAUCGAGUUGGUUUAGUCGAUUAAUGAUACUAUCCUGAGCUAGGAGUUGCCUUGCUGGGGCUUUGUGAGCCCGAAGUUCCGACCCUAAGGUCGUGCGGGUGUUAAAUUAUUGACGCUAAGUCUCUGAGUAUUUCGGGAUGCAUUCGGCGGAGGAGUCCCUGCCGGGAGUAUACUGAGAUUUCCUUGUUUGGCAUAUGAGAUGCUAAAAAGAUAUGUUUUUAUUGCUUGGCGUAAACACACACCGUUUCAUUGUUGUGAGCUCAGCCCGCGCGGGCGCAUCUCUUCGGACCAUUUGAUCUGGUACAUGAUUCCCUAUUGAAACUUAGUCUGUCAUUCCCCGGUCCUUCAGAGGAGAUCAUCGCUCGUCGUUUGAUUGCAGAAGGAGGCCUAUGAUCCUGUCGUAUCCUCAUCUAGGGGGUACGUUGUUCCGCUAAUAAUCUAGCUGGCGAGACCCUCUUCGGGGCGGAAGCCUGACCGAGGGAAAAAAGCGCGGCAGGUCCUGCUAAGGCCUUGGGAUCUCUGGGUGGAGUUAUAACUUCUGAAUGCCCCGGCCGAUUGUUUGCAUAUAGUUUAAUGAAAAAAUAGCAAAGAAAUGGAGCAGUUCUUCUUUACCGAGGGAUGUGUAGGCGACGCUUCGAGAUUUGGUACGUUCCUGCCAUUUCGCGGUGUGAGCCCUAAUACAGCCCUCCACUGUAUUUAAUCAAGCUUGGCCGAAUAUGUGGUUUGCUUACCUUUUGAUCCUUUCGAGGGUGGAGGUAUUGAUGCCGGGGAUGCGUCACAUGGUGAGGAAUUUCCCCUUGUCGCGUAUCGCUCCCCGUAGACGAUUUUAAUUCCACUCCUUGUGUGGGAUUUCAUUCUUUUGGAAAAGUGGGGUCAGCGCUGUCUCCGGGCAGUGUGCUCAUGGCCAUCUGGACAAGACGUCCGUGCCUUGCACCUUUUUUGACGGUAUAGAACUCGGCGUUCCAUUCCGAGCUUAGACGGGCUGUAUCGAGAGGUGGUCGUGUUUUUUCCCGGCGGUUCGAGCCGCAUUGUUUACCUCGGCCCAACAAUGUUGAUGUGUUGAUCGAACCACCUGAAUUCAUGAGCACAUGUUUUAUUUGAAAUAGAUCAAAUGAGGGAGAGUGUUACCAAUGCAUCAAUGUGGGCCGAGGCGAAGUCUCAAUGCCUUUUUUGCCGGAUGUAAGGGCGUCCUCUGGAAUAUAUCCCUGGACCCGUUUUUCCCCGACGACGAACAUUUUUAUUAGUCCUUGGAGGGUGCUGCCGCUUUUCCACUAUUGUGGCAAUAUGUCGUGGCUCCUUUGCUUCGUUUUUCCUGGUUGCCUUCUUCCCUUUGGGCCAAAUUCGAGACUGAUCGCUCGACAGUGAUCGACGACAAUUUUUAUUGAGUAGCACGGUUGUUUUCCUCCUGAGCUGGUGGCCAUUUUCAACCCCGUGGUCGUGCGCGCCAUGCGGUUCCCGCACCAGGUUGUGGUUUCCUCGAGGGGGAUUCGAUUGAAUAGGUCUGAGGUGUUUGGCACCCCAGGUUUCACUUAUGGUGAUCACGAUGUUCGGUAUAGCAAUGCUGAGAUCAUACUCUGACGGGCGAGGUGCCCCUGCCAUCCAUGCCUCACCGAAUCUGGCUCUCUUGAAGAUUCCUCGAGGAUGUUGCCCUCGAGCUAUUUCCUGCUCGUUGCAAGGUAGAUAUCAUCUUGGAACCUUCCUCCUAUCUGCGGCACAUGGAUGGUACCUCCAUCUCUUUAGCGUUAGUUUCUUUGUUUGGAGGCUGUUUGUACCAAGACUGAGAAGGCUCCCGAAUGGUCAUCCAUGAUCCUGAUUCGUGGCUGAUAUCGGGUACGGGCAUCCGACCAGAUCUCGGCUGGGUAUCUGAUCAAGCUUCAUUCGAAAUGCCUCGAAUUUGUCGGACAUGGUUCGUUUAGGCUUCGGGCGAAGGCCUCUGUUGCCUAGUCAUCCGAAACCGGGGGCGAUCUCGUUCGUUCUAUCAGGGAAUGAGGCGCGACUUCCCCUGGCAUUUUAUUCUCCCUUUGUUCGGACUCUGAUCUGUUGAGCUCUCCCGCUGCUGCUUUGAUGGCAUCGGCGUGUGCCUCUACGGAGGAAUCUGCUGGUACGGUAAGCGAGUUCCUGAGGUCAUGUGCUAGGCUAUGGCGCCACAUCAUGGUUCAUUUUGAUAGUGUUUCCCUAAACUUUUUCAACGAGACGGGCUCAAAUUCAUCAUCUUAAAGGUAACUGCCUAUUCCUGCACAUGUGUAAGGGGUGGUGCGCUCGUCGGGAUCCGAGGUCCUAUCGUACUUAGGGAGUUGACUUCUGUGAAAUGGGUUCCAGGACCGCUUCCUCGUGGGACGAUUGUAGCAUGAACUUCCACAAACCUUACUCGAUCCACUUGGAGAGAUCCCCAGGCAUCUUCGCUAUGGUAGGGUAUGUUACCGAUUCAGUGUUUCUUGAUCUCUCGGGUGUUCAUUUGGUGCGGGGAGUUGUUUCCGACGCUACUGCGCUGGGAGUUUUCGGAUGGCUUUGCAACUGAGCGAUGGCCAAUUGUUGUGCCUGCAACAUUUUAAAAAUAUCAUAAAGACUAACUUCCUGUGUUUCCCUAGCUAGGGUUUGUUGGGCUUCCAGUCGGUCGAUAUGCUAUAUGCUCCCAUCAGUGGCGAGGCUUUGUCGACCUGCUGCGCACCUUGCGAACCCGCGUGCGCUGGAAUCGGCCCAGAUGCAUUAUCGGGGUUCUGCGGUGUCGCGCCAACCACUAGAAAAGCCACACCAUUUUCGCCGUGAUUUUCGAGGUAGUCGUUCUCAACUCUGUUUACCGAGCCAGACAUUUUGACUUGAAAUCAAGAGAUCUUUGGACAAGAAAAAGUGUGAAAGGUAACUCGCGUUUGUGCAAUGAAACCAGCAAGAAACUAAUCACUAUUAUUUUUAGCCCCACGGUGGGUGACAAACUAUUUACCGUGAAAAUGGUAACAAUAAUUAAAUUUGCAAAUGGGAUUCUAAAACUACGUGAUCUAUUCUCGAGCUAGUUGUUUAGAGCACUUGAUGCUAAGAAUACGAAGUUUAGCGAUGAAAUGCAAGCUAAAAACGGGGCGAUAACCUAACCUAAAGGCUUACUGCCGGGUAGUUUUACCAAGGGGAUACAGGCUAAAAUGAGGGGUUGAACGAGCCGAGGAACCUGCUGCCCAGAUCUAGGAUCGGUCGAUGAGGGGCCUCGGGGUCGACGCCUGGGUCAAGCUCGGGCUAUCGGGGGCAGUCGGAAAUGGGACAACAGUUAAGGAUAUGAUUAAACAAGGCUCUUUAUGGCCAAUACCAAGCAAUAUAAUGAAGAAAAAGUAAGAAAACGAUAAAUGCUAAAGUGGCCUCGGGCCAGUGAGGACGAUCAGAUUAGAAAGAAGAGAGAGAGAGAGAGAGAGAGAGAGAUUAUUGCACUUGUGGAGAAAAUGGAGCAACAUCAGCCCUUUACAAGGUAGCGCGAGUUCCCUUUAUAUAGGAGGGGAACUCGGCUAUAGUACAACAUGCAAUAAAUGUUUAAGUAUGGAUAUGGGACGGCUAGACGCGAUGCUUCGGCGUAGGCCCUGGAUAGGCCGGCUUUGUCUGACUUAGCCGCGUGCCUUGGGAGCUUCCCCCUCUGUUCUGGCUUCGAUUCUCGUCUUCUUUGAGUCGGGCCUUGACGGGGCCCGAGGGAGGGGACUCAGCCUUGGUUCCCCGUCCUCGGGGUCUCAAGGCAUUCUUCCGAGAUGACUUGACAGCGAGAAAUCAAGUCCUCUGAUUUCGCCGCGUACAAGUCUGUAUUGCUGAAAAAUUUCGGGGAUACACUCUCGAAAGGGCCAUGAUAUGGUGUCACAACUAAUUGGCUCCAAAAUCCAUAGAUUCAUUCGCCAUGCUAUCAGACUCCUUUGUAAAGGCAUAUGCCGGUGUCAUCGAAGUAGCGACGAUGUUUUCAAAAUUAACCAAAAGGAGUACGAGAUGCUGCGGGACUUCGUGUCUUGCUUUCAAAUGGAACGGAUGGAGCUACCACCUGUCUCCCACGAUUUGGCAGUGUAGGCUUUCACUCAAGGUCUGAAUGAACGAAUCUCGGUGGCCUCAAAAUAGCUGAAACAGAAUUUGGUCGAGUACCCAGCUGUGACCUAGUCGGAUGUCCACAACCGGUACCAGUCAAAAAUUAGAGCCGAGGAUGACCAGUUAGGAGCCCCCUCGGGCUCAGUAUACCCAAGCAGGAUCCUGGCAAAGGAACCAAAACCUAACAAAGAAAGAUAUCAGCCGUACAUCGAAGAUAAGAGGAACGCCCCGAGGCGCAACCCACCUUGCAAUGAUCAGAGAAUAGAUCAAGGACAGGAUCCUCGAGGAUUCAUCAACAGAUCCAGAUUCGAUAGGAACACAGGGCCAACGGAUGCACCUCACUUGUCAGAAUACAACUUCAACGUCGAUGCAUCGGACAUUGUGUUCGCCAUCAGUAAAUAUUAGAGACGCCAAGUGGCCCGGGACUAUACAAUCGGAUCCUUGACAAAUGAAUCACAACUUAGUGUGCGAGUUUCACUACACGUACGGCCACAGGACUGAGGAUUGCCACCAACUACAAGAAGAGGUAGCUCGACUACUUAACAAAGGGCAUCUCCGGGAGUUCCUUAGCGAUCGAGCCAAAAAUUAGUUCCGGGAAAGAGAAGCAACCAAGAAGAACAAGACAAACGAGCCACAACAUGUCAUCCACAUGAUUAUGGGAGGCGUCGAUGCCCCGCAGGAACCCGUAAUGAGAAGGACAAAAAUAUCCAUUACUAGAUAAAAGUGGACCCGGGGAUAUAUUCCUGAGGACGUGCUCACAUUCAGCAAAGAAGACACCGAGACCUUGUCUCAACCUCACAAUGACGCACUGGUAAUCUCUUUCAUUGUAAAUUCUUUUCAAAUAAAAUGUGUACUCGUGGAUUCAGGUAGCUCGGCCAACAUUAUCAGGUCAAGGGUGAUAGAGCAGCUCGAACUUCUCGACCAAACCGUACCCGCCUCUCAAGUCCUUAGCUGAUUCAACACGGCGAUCGAAACAACGAAAGGAGAGAUCACUCUCCUAGCAAGCAUGGCCGGCAUGACCUAAAAUGUCAAAUUCCAUAAAAAAGACAUGAGAUACAACGCCUUAUUUGGGCAACCAUGGAUACACCGCAUGAGAGUGGUACCAUCCACUCUUCACCAAAUGAAGAAAUUCCCAACAAAGGACAGAAUUAAAACCAUUUAGGUGGAACAACACGCGGCAAGGGAAAUGUGCGCGGUGCACGAUGCGGCACCAGCGCUCGCACCUCUGCCCGCAAAAAAGCCAAAGGGUAAUCGAGCCACACCCUCGAUCAAGCCCGGUUAAACAAAAUAAAAGACCAUACCGCAUCCUCAUCUCGAGUGAUAGGAACAUAUCGAUCCCCAAAACAUCACCGGCACGUCUCACAUUAAGGUACGACCAUCUCCCUUUUCAUUUCGUACUCCAGACAAACCCUUGUGUAGGCACCCGAUCGAAGCGGUCAGAACGCUAACCCAGCUCGAAGACCAUAAGGGAGAUCCAACAAGUAUUCAAGGCUUCUUUUGCAAUCAACCCCGAGCACUACAGGACAUCCCCUCGAAAGGUCAUCCAUUUGAAAAAACCAAGGAACGCCGAGCAAGGUUCCAAUAGGAAAUGAUGUACCGGGCAAAAUAGUCAAAUGAACCGUGUCCGCAAAAGCCGGACCCAUGGCAACAAAACAACAUAUACUUUUUCCAAGCAAUCUAAGAAUAUCUUUCGCAAAAGCAUAUCGAACUCCAAUGGAAACUCAACAUUUUCAUAGCAAAGAUCCCUCCACCGAGAAUGCCCCGAAAUACUCGGAGACUAUCAUAAACAACUUGGCACCCACAUUACCUUAGGGUCGGAAUCUCCAAAAUCGUUAGCCCUCAACGAGGCAAUUCCGAGCUUACGAGUAAUGGCUCCCGAUCCUAGACAAACCCGAUGACUCGGAGACUGUUGCCAAUCGACAUUCAUUGAAAAACCUGAGGCCGUAAGACCCUGAUCGAGGAGACGCGGUCCUGUAAGACCUCAAAAGGCAUGAAAAUCCUGUAAAACCUCAAGCAAGGCAUGAAUCAUACUAGUACCAAGUAUCAACGAAACUGUAAGACCUCAAGUAAGGCAUGAAUCAUACAUGUACCAAGUGUCAACGAAACUGUAAGACCUAAAGCAAGGAAUGAAUCAUACUUGUUCAAAGUAUCAACAAAACUGUAAAACCUCAAAAGGCAUGAAAAUUUCGUAAGACCUUACUAUAGGCAUAAACUCAAUCCCGAAGUUUAGGCUAUAUAUCGCAUUUGUAAGACUCCCGAAAGGGCAUACCCUCUAUAUAGACGCCUAAACUACUACACUCGGGACCAAAAAUGGCUCCGGCCAAACACAAAUGACUAUGGCCAUACGGCUGUACCAACCGAAUUAAUGCGACUCGAGGACGCCCGACCGUCGCUACAAAAUCAUAAGGCCAUUACUUCGAAUCUACUUCGAAAAGAACCGGUUAAACAGACUACCCUCGACAAGAAAAAGAGAUUCGACCAUGUCAGCUCCAAAUCACAAGGCUUCAAGCUACUCAGCCUAUAAGCCAAACAAUCCGAGGUUCUCGAACAUCGCCGCAAAUGACUUAAAAUUGAGAUUCUACACGAACCGACGACGGGUCAGGCAAAAUCAUUUCAAAAGCCCUUAACGAGAGGAAAAUAAAGCCUACAUAUGCCUAAGGGCAAAGCGCAAGAGUCAUUGUCGCCAGUCUAAUGAACCCCAGGGCCACACACAAUAAAAGGUCGCAAUGACCAAAAGCGUAAAAGCCACUGCCGCCAGCUUAAAAUUUGAAAUCUUGAGGGUCAAAAUGAGCUCUAGUCGCAACCCGAUUCGUAGACUGGAUCCAAAAUAGUUAACUAUACAUGCCUAAGGGCAAAGCAUAAGAGCCAUUGUCGCCAACUUAAUGAGCCUCGGGGCCGUGCAUAUAAAAUGUUGCUUUGACCCAAGGCAUAAGAGCUGUUGUCGCCAACCUACGCAAAUACAAAACUUGACGGUCAAUUGUGCUCGAGUCGAAACCCGACUCAAAGACUGAACCCAAAAUAGUUAAAAUACAAAUGCCCACGGGCAAAGCGUAAGAGCCAAUGUCGCCCAUCCAUGCAAACACAAAAGCUUGAGGGUCGAAUGAGCUAGAGGCGGAGCCCGACUCGGAGACUAAACCCAAAACAGUUGAGCAAAAGCAUAAGAGCUCUAACGCCAGCUUAUACUAAAGGUACUAUCAACCGAGUGCCAAACGAGCCCCAAGGCUAUAUCGCGGAUAUAAGGAUUCUCACCAACUCUAAAACCAGUCCACAUGGUCAGAAGCGGAGUAGAAAGGGGUACAAAAGAAAUAAAACCUCAAGUUUUCUUUUAUUUACAUACGAGAAGAAGUGCAUUCUCCAUCUAUAAGCACGCUCUGAAGAUAUCACAUACAAAUUGGCAAAGUCUACGCCUUGCCCCUAAUGGCUACGGCCUAUCAGCCUCAUUUUUGCUCUCCUCGGCAUCGAACAGGAGUGGACGAGCACCACGCUCGCGUCAACUCUUCCAGGAGAACAAAACCCUGGCACUGAUCUCCUCGAGAACCCUCCUUUGGGAUCUGCAAUGUGCAUAUUCUUUGACCCUCUCUUCAUGAUCGAGAACCCUCUUCAACUCAGCUUGGUAAUUGGUAGCAUCGUUCAAAUAAAUCGCCAUCUCCUGAUCAGCCUAAGUCUGGCUAAGUGCUUCUUCGGCCGGAGCAUUAACGAUCUUAGCCCUGACCUUCAAAAGUUCAGAUUCGAGCUUUGUGAUCAUAUCCGCUUGAACUGAAGCAUUAUCACAAGCUAAGCGGAAUUGGACCUCGAAGGCAGGAACUUUAGCCAAGGCACCUUUCUCCUCUGAAGCUUGCGCCCGAGCCCUUAGCUCACAACAAUCAUUCCUGAUUUGGUCGGCUUCACCCCUAAGGCAUUCCAUGGCUUCCGUCUUUUUCUGCAACUGGGAUAGGCGAAGAGUUAACCUGAGAAGUAAAAAGGCAAAACGCGUACUCGCCUGGGACGGGAAGUUCCUGCUCCAUCAAAUGGUUUUCGUAAUUCGAGCUCCGGUACGCCUCAUAUCGCCAGUGCACCAACUCAACUUCCUUCUCCUUGUAAAGGAGCCCAAGGGACCUACCCUCAUCCAGAGCUUUUCAGAACCUAGCCCCAUAAUGGAGCAGCUCAGACCUAAGCCUGUCAAAGAAAAACUCGAUAAGGAAGGGAAGACGUGGGAUUCGGAAGGCCUGUGCCAAAGCUCACAGCAAAGUGAAGUCGGCGGACAUCCUCGAAGGCCAAGCACACCUCUGUUAAUCUAGUCCCCUCGGCCCUGAGAGAAUAAACUCUAGUCGAAGCGAUCACUCGGAGGAACCAUCUCUCCAUAACCAGCUUGUACAGCAGGCUCGAACAAUGUUUUCUUCUCAAAGACUCGGCCCCAUUUUGCCCUGCUGUGAGCGCCAUCGCACUGCAAAUGCAUAUCCCGUUUAUUAUUGUCGUCCUUUAGCUCGGAAGCCGGCAACCCCUCCCCCUCUCCAUAGGAGCACAACAUCACCCUUGGAGACCCUCCGAUACCUACGACGGCAAGAUUAAUACAUGAAAAGGGAAAUAUGUCUUCCCAAAUGUAUGAGGGGCGAGGAAAAGGCAGUAUACACACAUACCAUGAUAUUUUACUUCCCAUCUGCCCCGGGAUACUGCUCGCCACCUACACUCAUCUCAAGUCAAAUGGGUCACCAACUUCCGGACCCAACCAGGCAGAUCAAAAACUUCACCCGGUACCCAUGAAAUUGCUGCAGAAAAGGAGGAAACACGAUUACUAAACUAGCUUCCACCAUGAGCAAACCUGAGAAAGCACGAGACGCUCUACUCACGUGUAUAAUUCCAUUUCUAGGGGAAUGGCAUAAGUUCCACGGGAAUAACGCCAGCCGUCCAGACCCGGAUGAACCGAAUAAUCCACUCUCGAUCUCCAUCUUCCUCAUCGUCAAGAACAAAAGGCGUAGACGAACGACACUGCAAGGUUAGCAGACCUCGAAGAUGAAAGGGCUGGUACAGCAUGACAAGAUGACUGAGCGUGAAUUCAAGACCUGCCUUCUCCGCAAAGAACCUCAUCAUCAGCACUGUUCGCCAAAACGACAGAUGUAUCUGCGCCAAAGUAACCCAGUACUUUAGACAGAAAUCAAGCACGAACCUAUCAAGGGGGCCCAGUACGAAAGGAUAGAAGUACACAUUCAGGAAUCCAUCGGCAAGGUCUGUGAUACCCUCAUCCGGGGGAAGCACCUAUAACACUACCCCCUCGCCCCAUCCGCAGUCUCUCCUCACCAACUCAAGGUGCUCCUCUCUUAUCGAAGACAUAGUCUUCAAGGUAAACUCUUGUGGAUCCUGAGCGCUGGGAGUGGAACUCUCCCCUCUCUGUUGGGCAGACCCUGAAAUAGCAGUCAUGGCUAUGGCGGGACUAGCAAACUAAAGCGGGAACCUACACAAACACUUUGGUACUAAGGUAAUGAAGGACACGACGUCGAAACGGAAGGAUAGCUAUCUAAAAUAGUGGGAUCUCCCAAAAAGCAGUAGCAACCCCAUAUAUUUGUGGGGAAACAACAACGGUCCACCUACCCAAGUUAGGCCCCGGGAGGCCAAUGACUUCAAUACGAGUUCUGAGGAGGUACCCGACCUCGAGGACCUCCAUCAAAGAGAAGUUAGACUUCAAAAAGCCAGCCAUGUCAUCUCCAGUCCCGAGGUGGUACCCGACCUCGAGGACCCCCAUCAAAGAGAAUUUAUACUUCAAAAAGCCAGCGACAUCAUCUCCAGUCCCGAGGUGGUACCCGACCUCAAGGACCUCCAUCAAAGAGAAGUUAGGCUUCAAAAAGCCAGCCACGUCAUCUCUAGUCCCGAGGUGGUACCUGAGCUCGAGUACCUCCAUCAAAGAGAAAUUAGGCUUGAAAAGGCCAACAAUAUCACCUCCAGUCCCGAGGUGGUAUCCGACCUCGAAGGUUCCUCUCAAGAAGAAAAGUAAGCACUUCAAGCUACGUCCAUGAGGGCUCGACCUCAGGACAUCGCCUAAAUAUGGGUAACCCCUCCUCAGGGACCUAUCUACAAUGCCUUAAAAGGUUAUCUACAUCAAUUUCAAAGUAAUCCUCUAGGUGCCUGAAGCUGACCUUCACUCAGAGACCACUCUCAAAAAUUUCAAGGUUUGAUGCGCUAUCUUCAUGUGACUCGAGGGUCCCGAUGACCCAAGUCUAUCGGACCGUUUCAAGCUUGGUCCGAGGAACAACGGUGAGCUCGAAAAGAAGCCAUUUCUAUUAACCAAAGACCAAAAUGAUUACUCGCAUCUGAGUUAGAUAUUGACAAUCGUCAACAGAGGCAUACAUUCAGAAUUCCCACAUGUAGAAAAGAAUAUGGCAAGUAUCAAAGGCGGAAGUCAAGAAAAUAUCUUUAUAUUCAUAAACAUUCGAUUACAAUGGCCCUCGAGGAUUCCUUACAUAUGAUUACAAAAGCCCACAAGGGGUCCUUACAUAGAAACAAAGAAGUGAAGGGGUACACACCCAUGGUGAAAGCCUAAAGGUCUAGUCUACCCUCGAAGGUUCAUCUCCGGUAGCAGCAUCUCCAAGCGCCACCUCAUCGAGCUCGCAUUCUCGAAGGCAACUCCUUCGAUCACCACCUUCUAUGUUCCUGGAUCGAUCCCACGGAACAACAUCGCCGAGGGAAAAGAUGAAGAAGAGGAAAGGGGGAGGAUGCAGAAGAGGCAAAAAAAAA